rnacentral:rRNA from 1 species
AGAUUGAACGCUGGCGGCAGGCCUAACACAUGCAAGUCGAGCGGUAGAGAGGUGCUUGCAUCUCUUGAGAGCGGCGGACGGGUGAGUAAUGCCUAGGAAUCUGCCUAGUGGUGGGGGAUAACGUUCGGAAACGGACGCUAAUACCGCAUACCGUCCUACGGGAGAAAGCGGGGGACCUUCGGGCCUCGGCGCCAUUAGAUGAGCCUAGGUCGGAUUAGCUAGUUGGUGAGGUAAUGGCUCACCAAGGCGACGAUCCGUAACUGGUCUGAGAGGAUGAUCGAGUCACACUGGAACUGAGACACGGUCCAGACUCCGUACGGGAGCAGCAGUGGGAAUAGUGACAGUGGGACGAAAGCCUGAUCCGAGCCAUCGCCGCGUGUCGUGGAAAGAGGUUCUUACGGAUUUA